UACGAAGGGGGCAAGCGUUGUUCGGAAUUAUUGGGCGUAAAGAGCGUGUAGGCGGCCAGAUAAGUCCGCUGUGAAAUCUCGAGGCUCAACUUCGAGCUGUCGGUGGAAACUGUCUGGCUAGAGUCCGGAAGAGGAGGAUGGAAUUCCUGGUGUAGCGGUGAAAUGCGCAGAUAUCAGGAAGAACACCCGUGGCGAAGGCGGUUCUCUGGGACGGUACUGACGCUGAGACGCGAAAGCGUGGGGAGCGAACAGG
rnacentral:rRNA from 1 species